UAACCGGAUUAGAUACCCUGGUAGUCCACGCCGUAAACGAUGAGUGCUAGUUGUCGGCAUGCAUGCAUGUCGGUGACGCAGCUAACGCAUUAAGCACUCCGCCUGGGGAGUACGGUCGCAAGAUUAAAACUCAAAGGAAUUGACGGGGGCCCGCACAAGCGGUAGAGCAUGUGGUUUAAUUCGAAGCAACGCGCAGAACCUUACCACCUUUUGACAUGCCUGGACCGCCGGAGAGAUCCGGCUUUCCCUCCGGGGACUGGGACACAGGUGCUGCAUGGCUGCCGUCAGCUCGUGUCGUGAGAUGUUGGGUUAAGUCCCGCAACGAGCGCAACCCUCGCCAUUAGUUGCCAUCAGGUUUGGCUGGGCACUCUAAUGGGACCGCCGGUGGUAAGCCGGAGGAAGGUGGGGAUGACGUA
rnacentral:rRNA from 1 species